CGGGGAACCAGGACUUUUACUGUGAAAAAAUUAGAGUGUUCAAAGCAGGCCUUUGCUCGAAUAUAUUAGCAUGGAAUAAUAGAAUAGGACGUUAUGGUUCUAUUUUGUUGGUUUCUAGGACCAUCGUAAUGAUUAAUAGGGACGGUCGGGGGCAUCAGUAUUCAGUUGUCAGAGGUGAAAUUCUUGGAUUUACUGAAGACUAACUACUGCGAAAGCAUUUGCCAAGGACGUU
rnacentral:rRNA from 14 species